rnacentral:rRNA from 1 species
ACGCUGAAGGAGGAGCUUGCUUCUCUGGAUGAGUUGCGAACGGGUGAGUAACGCGUAGGUAACCUGCCUGGUAGCGGGGGAUAACUAUUGGAAACGAUAGCUAAUACCGCAUAAGAGUAGAUGUCGCAUGACAUUUGCUUAAAAGAUGCAAUUGCAUCACUACCAGAUGGACCUGCGUUGUAUUAGCUAGUUGGUGGGGUAACGGCUCACCAAGGCAACGAUACAUAGCCGACCUGAGAGGGUGAUCGGCCACACUGGGACUGAGACACGGCCCAGACUCCUACGGGAGGCAGCAGUAGGGAAUCUUCGGCAAUGGGGGCAACCCUAACCGAGCAACGCCGCGUGAGUGAAGAAGGUUUUCGGAUCGUAAAGCUCUGUUGUAAGCGAAGAACGUGUGUGGGAGUGGAAAGUCCACACAAUGACGGUAGCUUACCAGAAAGGGACGGCUAACUACGUGCCAGCAGCCGCGGUAAUACGUAGGUCCCGAGCGUUAUCCGGAUUUAUUGGGCGUAAAGCGAGCGCAGGCGGUUAGAUAAGUCUGAAGUUAAAGGCUGUGGCUCAACCAUAGUUUGCUUUGGAAACUGUUUAACUUGAGUGCAAGAGGGGAGAGUGGAAUUCCAUGUGUAGCGGUGAAAUGCGUAGAUAUAUGGAGGAACACCUGUGGCGAAAGCGGCUCUCUGGCUUGUAACUGACGCUGAGGCUCGAAAGCGUGGGUAGCGAACAGGAUUAGAUACCCUGGUAGUCCACGCCGUAAACGAUGAGUGCUAGGUGUUAGGCCCUUUCCGGGGCUUAGUGCCGCAGCUAACGCAUUAAGCACUCCGCCUGGGGAGUACGACCGCA